GUUCCAGGCAGGGGGCAGGCAUGUGCAAAGGUCUGAAGCAAGAGCUGGCAGAUGAGACUGAAGAGGAAGGAAGGGUUCAGAUCUUCAUGCUGGCUUUGCACGUCUGCUUAGGUAUCGCUAUUAUUUACAGGGAAAUGAGAAGCCGCUGAAGAUUUGAAGCAUAAGAGUCGGACGAUCCGACUUAUGUUUUAAGAUCCCUGCUUCUAGGGAAUCCUGGAGGGAUGGGUACAAGAGGGAAGGCUUGUCCCUGCGCCACAAGGUCUGCGUCCUCCGUGGGGAAGACUUGAACACCAAGAGUGAGUCAUUUGGCUGGAGGCUGAAAUCAUCUAGAGGUUUCUUCAUUCACUUGACAUCUUCGUUCUGGUACAUAUGGUUUGAACUUCUCGCAGCAAGGCAGCUGGAUUCAGAGAGGAAAUCUCCCAAAAGUCCAAUUGCUGCUUGUUGCUCAUCUAGAACACCUGGGGAUGGGAAGAACUGCCUGAGGCCACGGUAGUUGACUGUGCUGGGUUUUUGCUGUCCCAGGAAUGGAGCUCCAGGGUGUGGUAGGAUUGUCACAAAGAAAAGGGAACACUGUGGAAGAGACUGGACGCAUCAGGAGGGGCUUUCAAAACAUCAAGUUCUCUCUACCCUCAGCCAGAUUCAGCAUCUCAUUAAGGUAUGUCACUGUCUUCAUGAUUGCCAUUGAAGAAAAUAUUCUCUUGGAAAACAUAAGGUCGUGCAGAAUUUCUAACAGUGAAAUCUCAUUGGUCAUAUCCUAUUCUGAUGCCUCAUGGAGUUUGUCAUUUUUGGAGCUGCUAUAUUGACCAAUACAGACGUACCUGUAUUAGGCACUUUGGAAUUCAGCUGCAUUCUUCUACUUUCAACAAGUUACCUUCCUACCACUUCCAUUUGGGUGGAGCCAGAAGGAAGAAACGCCCAAACAGAUCUUCAGGAUCCACCCUCCCCAAUAGGUUCUCACGGCAGAGAUGCGCCUGGCAGGAGCUUCAACCCCAAGGCCACCCGCCGCCGCGGGUUCCCAAACCCGGAUAGGGCCCUAAUGGGAAAGCAGCCUGGGUUCGCCUCGGCCCAGCCUCCGCCAAGUCUUCGGGAUCUGACGACCCACAACAGCGCGAGGGCGGAGGGACCGGAGGAAGCAGAGGAAGAGGAGGAAGAGGAAUUGCUUUUGUCGAGGCUCCGCCCGGCGCUAGCCAGGCCUCGUGGAGCCUCCGGGGCUCGGGGUCCCCAGGGGGCGUGGCCUCAGGGGCGGAAGCGGAGCGCGGGCGGGGGCUCAGGCAGCGCGCGGCGCGGGGGAGGGUCGGAGCCUCACCGGGCGGGGCGGGGCCGCAGGGCCUCCCCAGAGCGGGCGGCGGAGCUGCACUAGUCCGCGCGCGGUAGGGCGGAGACCCCGUACCCGAGGAGAAGGCAAAUUCUUAAGAAGGUCUCCAGUUCUGCCCAUCCUGCCCCACAGUUGGAAAACUGGACGCUGAGAAGUACACGCCAGAUUUGGCGGCCAGGCUAGUCUGAGAGCUAUAGGACAUGGAGCACCCCCAGGGGAAGCAAGACAGGAUUCUCUCUCCCUCCUAGAUGUGAAUGUGUGACAUAGCUCCGCUCUCAACUCCUCUUUGCAGAUGAUUUGUGUUGUCAGAUAAUUCAAUCUUUCUAGUUUUGUGACAGCUUCUUAACUGAAUUCCUCCACUUUUAGUUCAGCUUAAGCCUUGAUUGUGUCAUCUACCCCAAUGCUAGACGAAAGAGUUAAAGGACCAAAAGAGAGUAAGCCUUUUAAAGAAAGAAAAGAGCUAUAUAAUUGCCUAAGUAAAGCAUACUUCAGCUUUCAUAACUGCAAAAUACGUUCAGUUUAACCAACCAAAUUUUGUGCUGGACCCUGGGAUAACACAUAUGUACUAUAGAUACUCUAGUAGGGAAGAUAGAUGAAUAGAAAGACAACUAUAAGUCAGUGUUAUACCUUUAAUAAUAAGAGCACAUACUAGGUACAAAAGUGGCUAACUGAAGGAGUGACUAAUUCUAUGAGGUAUCUGGGGACAGGGGUAUAAGAAAAAGGUUUCAGCCAGGAAUGAUGCCCAUCAGAGGGGGUGUUUGAAGCAUUAGCAGGAAUGGUUAAAAAAAAAAAAAGCUCAUGAGGUAGAUAGUAAUAAAUGACUACGAAAUACUGAUUGACAACACAGAAGAAAGUAAACUGUAAAGAGGUGAAUUCUCUUAAUUUUAAAUUAUCAGCAAAGAGAUUAGUUGAAAAAUGGGGUGAAGGAAUAAAGAACUCCUUUUAGUCAAGUCUUAAAAGUUACAGAAGUAAAAUAACGCUUCCAUAAUUCCCACUCCAGUAAAGACCAGUGUUGUUACAUUGGUGUAUGUUCCUCCAGGGUGUGUAUUCAUGACUGACCUAGUUUUCUGUAGAAAUGGAAUCUUCAUACACUGGAGGUGGUGUAGGAAAGUGGUUGCAUGUGCUGGCUUAGGCAGUCUGGUCUGGAGUGCAGGGUCCACUCCUUCCCAGUUCUGUCAUCUUGGGAAGUCAUUUCUCUUCACCUCAGUUUCCUCCUCUGCAGAAUAGGGCUAUAACUGUGUCACUUGUCGGUUGAGAUUUUAAAUGUCAGCAGAGACGUUUUGUGCAUGGAAAGGAACCCAUAAAGUGGCUUUUGUUUUAAUUGAUAUUUAAUUUAUUAGGAGUGUAAAAUUUAAUUCUAGUUACUAAGCAGUGAAACCCAAAUCUCAAAUUCACUUAUAAAUCUAUCAAUUUUAUGUUAAAAUAAAACACUUUUCUUGUUCUUUGCUUAAUCCUCAGUGAACAUAUUACUUUGACAUAUUAAACUUCCCAUUUAAACACUAUAAAUGGAAUAGAAUUUUCUUAAGUAUUACAUAUUAAAAUCACAAAAGCACACAAAUCUAACACAUUAAAUCCUCUUACAUAUUUAUAUAGUUUAUAAACCUCAUUUAUUAAAUUCCCUUGAAUAUGUCAAAUUUACAUGUUGCAGUAUCUGCUUGUCUCAACUACUACAGCCCCUAAUGAGGCAGAUUUCCACUCUGUAAAUCGUCCUGGUCCAUCUCUGCCCAGUCCUGAGCACUUCCUGUGGGAGUCUUCCAGACCACUGAAAGGGCAUUGGUCAGCAGCAUGGGCUCCCAGCCAGACUGCUCUGCUACUUACUGGCUAUGUGGCCUCGGUUAAGUCACGUCCCUCUUUGUGCCUCAGUUUUAUCAUCUGACAGUGGGGUAGCAAUAGUAUGAAACUCAGAAUGGUUGUGAGCCUUACCUGAGC
rnacentral:lncRNA from 1 species